rnacentral:tRNA from 1 species
GGCCUUAUAGCUCAAUUGGAUAGAGCACCUGACUACGAAUCAGGAGGUUAUGGGUUCGACUCCCGUUAAGGUCACCA